UACGUAGGUGGCUAGCGUUGUCCGGAUUUACUGGGCGUAAAGAGCGCGCAGGCGGUCGUUCAAGUCGAGUGUGAAAGCCCCCGGCUCAACUGGGGAGGGUCACUCGAUACUGAUCGACUCGAAGGCAGGAGAGGGAAGCGGAAUUCCUGGUGUAGCGGUGGAAUGCGCAGAUAUCAGGAGGAACACCGGUGGCGAAGGCGGUUCUCUGGGCAUUACCUGACGCUGAGGAGCGAAAGUGUGGGGAGCGAACAGG
rnacentral:rRNA from 1 species